rnacentral:rRNA from 1 species
GUAGUCUCGCACAGAUGCAUAUCAAUAAGCGGAGGAAAAGAAACUAACAAGGAUUCCCCUAGUAACGGCGAGUGAAGCGGGAAGAGCUCAAAUUUGAAAGUCUUAAAGGGUUUCCCUUUACGAAUUGUAGUUUAAAGAAGUGUUUUCUGUUGAGGUUUUGGUAAAAGUUCUUCGGAAUAGGACAUCAUAGAGGGUGAGAAUCCCGUAUUUGACCUUUACUUUCAACUUUGUGAUACACUUUCAAAGAGUCGGAUUGUUUGGGAAUGCAGUCCAAAAUGGGUGGUAAAUUUCAUCUAAAGCUAAAUAUUGGCGAGAGACCGAUAGCGAACAAGUACCGUGAGGGAAAGAUGAAAAGAACUUUGAAAAGAGAGUUAAACAGUACGUGAAAUUGUCAAAAGGGAAGCGUUUGACACCAGUGUUGUUUUUCUGAAAAUCAAUUAAAGAACUGUUUAUGCUAAGCUGUUUAGACUUUAUCAGCUAACUGUUUAGUUUUUGAGCUUUUCUUUAAUGCACUUUUCAGUUAACAAGUCAACAUCAAUUUCUUUUGCUGUAGAAAAGCUUGAGGAAGGUGGCUUGAGAUUCGUCUUAAGUGUUUAUAGCCUCUUGCCUAUGCAGUCGGAGAGAUUGAGGUCUGCAGCGUAGAUCCUUCGGGGCUAAAUGCAUUUGUGCUAAGUUAUAAGCAUUUUAUAGACAACUUGUUGACUAUGAUUUGUCUUGUAGCUUACUCGCUUAUGUUAUUUUACCUACGCUUAGGAUGUUGAUCUGUAGUGCGUGCGC